rnacentral:rRNA from 1 species
UACGUAGGGGGCGAGCGUUAUCCGGAUUUACUGGGUGUAAAGGGAGCGUAGACGGCAGUGCAAGUCUGAAGUGAAAGGCGGGGGCCCAACCCCCGAACUGCUUUGGAAACUGUGCUGCUGGAGUGCAGGAGAGGCAAGUGGAAUUCCUAGUGUAGCGGUGAAAUGCGUAGAUAUUAGGAGGAACACCAGUGGCGAAGGCGGCUUGCUGGACUGUAACUGACGUUGAGGCUCGAAAGCGUGGGGAGCAAACAGG